rnacentral:rRNA from 1 species
GGCGGCGUGCCUAACACAUGCAAGUCGAACGGGGGCUAGGAAAGCUUGCUUUUCCGAAGCCUAGUGGCGGACGGGUGAGUAACGCGUGAGUAACCUGCCUUUCAGAGGGGAAUAACGUUCUGAAAAGAACGCUAAUACCGCAUAACGUACAGUUACCGCAUGGUAGCAGUAACCAAAAGGAGCAAUCCGCUGAGAGAUGGACUCGCGUCCGAUUAGCUAGUUGGUAGGGGUAAAGGCCUACCAAGGCGACGAUCGGUAGCCGGACUGAGAGGUUGAACGGCCACAGUUGGGACUGAGACACGGGCCCAGACUCCGUACGGGGAGGCAGCAGGGUGGGGGAUAUUGCACAAUGGGGGAAACCCUGAUGCAGCAACGCCGCGUGUGGGAAGAAGGUUUUCGGAUUGUAAACCACUGUUCUUGGUGAAGAUAAUGACGGUAACCAAGGAGAAAGCUCCGGCUAACUACGUGCCAGCAGCCGCGGUAA